UGGGGGGGGUGCUAUACUGCAGUCGAGCGAAUCGACGGGAGCUUGCUCCCUGAGAUUAGCGGCGGACGGGUGAGUAACACGUGGGCAACCUGCCUAUAAGACUGGGAUAACUUCGGGAAACCGGAGCUACUACCGGAUACGUUCUUUUCUCGCAUGAGAGAAGAUGGAAAGACGGUUUACGCUGUCACUUAUAGAUGGGCCCGCGGCGCAUUAGCUAGUUGGUGAGGUAAUGGCUCACCAAGGCGACGAUGCGUAGCCGACCUGAGAGGGUGAUCGGCCACACUGGGACUGAAACACGGCCCAGACUCCUACGGGAGGCAGCAGUAGGGAAUCUUCCGCAAUGGACGAAAGUCUGACGGAGCAACGCCGCGUGAACGAAGAAGGCCUUCGGGUCGUAAAGUUCUGUUGUUAGGGAAGAACAAGUACCAGAGUAACUGCUGGUACCUUGACGGUACCUAACCAGAAAGCCACGGCUAACUACGUGCCAGCAGCCGCGGUAAUACGUAGGUGGCAAGCGUUGUCCGGAAUUAUUGGGCGUAAAGCGCGCGCAGGUGGUUCCUUAAGUCUGAUGUGAAAGCCCACGGCUCAACCGUGGAGGGUCAUUGGAAACUGGGGAACUUGAGUGCAGAAGAGGAAAGUGGAAUUCCAAGUGUAGCGGUGAAAUGCGUAGAGAUUUGGAGGAACACCAGUGGCGAAGGCGACUUUCUGGUCUGUAACUGACACUGAGGCGCGAAAGCGUGGGGAGCAAACAGGAUUAGAUACCCUGGUAGUCCACGCCGUAAACGAUGAGUGCUAAGUGUUAGAGGGUUUCCGCCCUUUAGUGCUGCAGCUAACGCAUUAAGCACUCCGCCUGGGGAGUACGGCCGCAAGGCUGAAACUCAAAGGAAUUGACGGGGGCCCGCACAAGCGGUGGAACAUGUGGUUUAUUUCAAAGCAACGCGAAGAACCUUACCAGGUCUUGACAUCCUCUGACAACCUAAAGAUAGGCUUUCCCCUUCGGGGGACGAGUGACGGUGU
rnacentral:rRNA from 2 species